UGCUCUUAAUGAAGCUACUUCCUGGGGAAAGCACCCCCAGCCCUCCAGAUGGAACAAGUAAACAACCAGCACUGCAGAUGGAGACAUCGCUCUUAGAGUAUUGUGAAACCUAGCUCUUGGACUGAGGUCUUCAGCCUGGAGUUGCCCUUUCCCUGGCUCUGGACACAGGGCCACUGAUGCUCCUCCCUGCAGCACAGUGCUUGCUUUGCCUACGGGAUUCAUCAUGGGCAGCCGUGGUGGAAGCCGUGGUCCAGAAAAGAAGCCUUCAACGACACCAACAGUUUCAACAAAGCAAUGUGUGAGUGUGGUCUUUGCUUCAGAAGAUUAUACUUCCCUAGGUAUUUCAGGCACCUCUCUCAGCAGAGCCACCAUGCUCAGGACGUAAGCAGUACAUAGGACAGAAGCUGCUGUUCUUGAUCUCCUUGUGGAAAGAUGUUGUAUUAUCGUGAGGCAAUGCCAAGUACCAUGAAGCCACCAUGCCUUUUAAAACAAUUCUGUUGUAAGCCUCAAACCUGUCAGAAAAAUACAACUGAGCAGACUUUUUAAAACCAAGGGAUCAGCCAGCCAAAGCUCACACAGGAAUCAAAACAAUGACUUAGAGCAGUUACAAAGUUAAAUAUGAGUUGUUUUCAAAUCUGUUGCAGGAGCACCAGUGCCAGAGGUACCAAUUUUGCAGGAAGAACAGUGAGGUAAAACUUUAAAGAUCAAGCCCUGAAGAGCUUUCUGUGUGUUUAUGUGCACUGCACUCAUUCUGCUUCAAGGCUAUAGGAAAAUUAUUUCUGGAAUGUGGCAAAUGGCAUAAUACAUGUUACAGAUCCCACUCUUAGUCAGCUGCAAAGCUUGUGCUGCCUUUGGGGGAGAGGGAUUAGAGGCAACUUUUUAUUGUUCAAGAAUUUUUAGGACAGAUAAAAAACUCAGCUGCAAUUACAAACCAAGCAAGACUAUACUAAUUUUUCUAUCACCUUCUGGACUCACAGCUGUGCAUCUGCCAAUUAGAGCUGGUUGGAAAAUUUCCAGCAAAUCAAAAUAUUUUUGGAAACCUCUCCACAGCUCGUAGGGUCCAAGAUGCUAGGGCUCUUGAAAUGCCUUAGAUUUGACAGACUUCAGCAAGUUCAAAGGUGAAUUUCUGGGAGCAAAGAAGGAGCUGCACAGCCCUUAACCGCUGGGCAGAUGCAUCUGCAGGGAUCCACAGGGAUGUUUCCAUUUCGGCUGAGGAAUGAGGAGCCCACUCAGGGGUAAACUCUUCUGGAAAAAAAUGGUUUGAAUGAGAUUGGUGUAUGGACUGGCUUCAAGAGGGGAAUGAAUGGACACAGAUCCCAGGUGGAGUGAUUAAAUUAUUAAAUUAUAGAAGAAAAAAAAAAAAAGAUUGGAAAGGAUGUCUGGAUGUCAUCUGGUCCAAACCCAGGCUGAAAGCCAAGCUGACUUCAAAAUGAGAUGGAGGUUGCCCAAGGCCUUGUUUCGUCCAGCUUUGAGCAUCUCCAAGUAAGGGGAUUCCGUAGCCUCUCUGGAUGACCUCUUCUGGUGCUCAGCUACACCCAUGAGAAGAAUCCUUAGCCUUCCUUCUUUCAAGACACAGGCAGAUCUUAUUUUGUCAGGACGGGGCUGUCACAGGCAGCACCAUUUCGUUCUUCGCCAUGCCCAGCACUCUGUGGUAUUGAACCGAAGCUCUGCUGCUUGAGGACAAACCCGGACACAGGGCAUGAAGAAAGCUCAUCUGUGCACGGCUGCUGCCUUCCUGGCACUGGAGCACCCUCAGCAAUCUGCUCAGAAAGCUUAGAGCUGACUUUGCAUCUUUUGGCCUUGAUCUCUGGCUCUAAAGUUAAUUGGGAUAAUUCAGAGUUCACACCCCUAUCCCUGAGGGGUUGGUUUAAAAAUACAUGUAAUGUGAGUUUGAAAAUUAUUUCUUUUGAUUGGAAGUAUUUGGAAAUGUUCCUCUCCACUGGUUUUAAAAGGUGUCAUUUUUUUAUGAAUGCUGAGACGUUGAUUAAUAAAAUUCCGAAAGCAUUAACUCAA